UGGGGAAUUUUGCGCAAUGGGGGGAACCCUGACGCAGCAACGCCGCGUGCGGGACGAAGGCCUUCGGGUUGUAAACCGCUUUCAGCAGGGAAGAAGUUGACGGUACCUGCAGAAGAAGCCCCGGCUAACUACGUGCCAGCAGCCGCGGUAAUACGUAGGGGGCGAGCGUUAUCCGGAUUCAUUGGGCGUAAAGCGCGCGUAGGCGGCCCGUCAAGCGGAACCUCUAACCCGAGGGCUCAACCCCCGGCCGGGUUCCGAACUGGCAGGCUCGAGUUUGGUAGAGGAAGAUGGAAUUCCCGGUGUAGCGGUGGAAUGCGCAGAUAUCGGGAAGAACACCGAUGGCGAAGGCAGUCUUCUGGGCCAUCAACUGACGCUGAGGCGCGAAAGCUGGGGGAGCGAACA
rnacentral:rRNA from 1 species